rnacentral:rRNA from 1 species
GUUUCUGAGAGUUUGAUUCUGGCUCAGAACGAACGCUGGCAGCGUGGAUUAGGCAUGCAAGUCGAGCGGGAUCGCGGGGGGAGCAAUUUUCCCGCGUGAGAGCGGCGGAAGGGCGAGGAGCACGUGGACAACCUGCCCCGUGGGUGGGGACAACGCGGGGAAACCCGCGCUGAUACCGAAUGGGGCGACGCUGCCGCAUGGCGGCGGCGCCAAAGGCGGGGACCCGCAAGGGCCCGCCCCCCCGGGAGGGGUCCGCGCACCAUCAGCUUGACGGCGGGGUGACGGCCCACCGUGGCUUACGGUUAGCUGGUCUGAGAGGACGGCCAGCCGCACUGGGACUGAGACACUGCCCAGACUC